GCGGCUUGCGGUGUUUGCGCGCCCCGCUUCUGGUGCGCACAGGGAUGGGGUUCCCCCCGUGCACGCACUGAGCACAGCGACUAAAAACUGCUGUCCCCAACCAGGUUGGCCAAAAGCGAGGCGGGGAAUUGCAAGUGACCUGCUGAGCCGGGAACGUUGGGCAGCUGGCAUGCAGUGCCGUGGGGUCGUACAAUCACAGAAUCGCAGAAGGGCUUGGGCUGAAAGGGACCUUAAAGACCAUCCAGUUCCUGCCCCGUGCCGUGGGCAGCGCUGCCACCCACCAGACCAGGCUGCCCAUCCAACCUGGCCUUAGAUGCCUCCGGGGACGUGGCACCCACAGUGGCUGUGCCAGCGCCUCACUGCCCUCUGUCACCUAACCUAAACCUCCCCUCUGUUAGUUUAAAGCCAUUCUCCUUUGUCCUUGGGCAGAGCAGAGGGGAACAAUCCCUUCCCUCUUCUUGCUGGGCACCCGGGAUGCAGUUGGCCUCCUGGGCUGUAAGCACACACUGCCGGCUCAUGCUUUUCAUCCAUCAGGGUCCCCACGUCCUUCUCAGCAGGAUUGCUCUCGACGAGAUCUUCUCCCAGUCUGUACAUAUACAUGGAAUUCCCCUGACCCAAGUGCAAUACCCUGCAGUUGGCCUUACUGAACCUCAUGACGCUCUCAUGGGCCCGCUUUUCAAGCCAUCCAGGUCCCUCUGGAUGGCAUCUCUUCCUUCAGCUACAUCAACUGCACCACUCAACUUAGUGCCGUAAGCAAACCUGCUGAGGGUGCACUUUAUCUCACUUGUGUAGGCCAUCGAUAAAGAUGACACAAGUGUAAACAAAGUCAAAUAAGCCAUCUGACAAAUAGAUGAAGGAAAAGUCCCUGGAGACCUGCUUUGGCUCGUUCCCCCCACAGCCAGUUUCUGAGGUUCCAGGCUGGGAAGCCGCUGUUGCACAGAGAUUCCCUCCCAUGGUUCUGAGGGAAGGACCCCCCACAGGCACCCAAUGCUGUCCUGCAGCCAUGCUGUGUGCACACAGGGCUCAGCACGCUUCCUGCCCACAGCGCUGCUGGGCUGCCAAGUGAGCCGGUGCUGGGCAGCCACAGCUCAUACCUCAGGGGUCAGGUGCUAUUUUUGCUGGCCGUGCCCCUGGAGGUGCAGAAGUGUCUUUCUGCAGGCUGUGCUGGGCUCCCCCGCUCUGGGUACCUUUGCAGCAUUGUGACUUCUAAGGAAGAGCAGGUGACUGUCAGUGGUGCCAGGCAAAUAUUGUCAGCCCUUAAUCCUGCAGGCUUUGCACCUGUGAGUGACCAAAGCCCAUUGUGCUAGGAUGUGCUCAUGCAUUGGACAGCAUUGCCAGCAGGUAACUGGGCUGGCCCUCGGCUGGGUGCCCGUGGGUAGGGCUCUGUGCCCCAGCAGCUCAGGGCUCUGUCAGGCAUGAGGUAUGAGGGCAGCGCACGGCCUCGAGGAAGGGCCACAUGGAUGUGGCACUGUGGUGCUAACAAGGUGCUGCAGUGGGAAAAACAGAGGUGUUCUUCCAGCGGGCGCCGGGUAAAGAAAUUGGCUGAGCUCAAUUGGCCCAACUUACAGUUUCCAGUGGAAAAGCCAAUGUGUUUGCAGAUCACAGGACAGCACAGUCAUGUACCGCUGCUCGCCACAACCACCCCCAGCCCCACGCUGCAGCUGGGCUGGACUGGGGAUCACCACAGUGGGUGGUGAUGUGGGGCUGGGAGAGAAGAGCCGGAGCGGGGCGGUGCAGCUCACAGCAGCCGGUCAGGAUUCAUAGCUGCUCUUCUGCUCACAGGCCCAGCACAGCAGUGCAGUAACACAGCAGUGCAGUAAGACAGCAGCAUGGUUUGCCAGGCACCCAUGCCAGCUUCCAGCGGGAGCAGCCCUGGCUGCUGAGUUGUUCAGCAGACGUCAACCUGUGGAAUGUUUCCGUGAUAUUUUUCUCCCCUGAAAGAAUGUGCUAGGACUAAAUGCUUUCACCUUUUUCUUUUCCUUUUUUUUUUUUUCUUUUUUAAAGAAAAGGUCAAGCACCCUCCAGGGCCUUCAGGCCUCACCACUGACCUGCCGCGUGGUGCUGCGUCCCAUGCAUGAGGCUUCCAUCAGACCCAGUGCUGGGAGGGCAGUCCCAGGCAGCUCCCCUGUUGGCACCUUUGUAACAAAGGCCCUCAGAAAGGAUGGGCUUCCUCUCACCCAGGUUUAGGUGCCUAAAAGUUAGAUGUUUAAGCCUAUUUAGAUGGCCAGGCUUCUUGCAUAGUCAAUGGAGACAAGUAGGCACCUCUAGUGUGUGAUUCACCUUGGCUAUCUGCAGCAUUUAUCUGAGGGUCUGACUCACUCAGGAUUGAGUGAGGAGCUGAGUGCCCGCUUCUCUCUGCAACUCUCCGGCAGGUGGGUGACUCGCUUAGGGCCCGACAGCUGAUUUCUGGCCGCCCCAAACUCAGCCCCCACCCCACAGCCUGGCUCUGGGACUCUCACCCCAUUUCCUUUAGGGGCCCCACGUCCAGCCCUGCCGAGCAAGGCUUGGUCGCAGCCUGCCCAAAUUGUACUAUCAGCCCCUAUCGCCUCAUCAGACCGAGUUAAAUAUUUAUAAAGCUGCCGGGGCAGGGUCCGUGCCUUGCUACGUGUCUGUGUGUUCCCUGGCGUAGCGAAGCCCGGCAUCCCAACCCCUGUACCAUGUGGGACGGAGACUGCGCAAAGCUGCAGGUCCUGACGAAACGCAGCUGGGAGUGCACAGAGUGCUCGUGGACGUUGGGAAAUAGGCAGGAAUGAAUCAUAAGAGUCGGGAGAAGCUGCUAAUGUGUGGGAAAAAGGCAAAUGUGCUACCUCUGCACAAACAUAUAAUAAGGAAGUAUGUAAUAAUAAUUAUUGUUAUUGUAAUACGGUCUGGGUGAGCAUUUGGGAAAAAGAUAUCUAAUAACUGACAAGCACCACGGCUCGGUUUGUUUUGAUCUGAAAUUCAAACAAUGGCCGUGUUUAUAAGGUAAUAAUACACAGGGCACAGAGCGCUGGCACCGCACCAACUAUGCACUCCGCAAGUCGGGUUUAUAUAGGUCAUGCCAAACAAAUAAUAGUGUUCUUCAAUAUAAUUACUGAUUCAUUAAGAGAAUGAGAGAGAACGUAAUUGAGUCUGUUUGGAUUUCAGGGAGGUGUUAGAUAUGGUAAAUUUAUACAUUUGACCUUGGAUUUUGGAGACGUUACACGCUCGCCCAGCUCUGCUCCUCUGGAAGGCAGCGGUGACAUUCCUGUUGCGGUCCCUGCAGCCGGUGCAGGACUGCUCUCACUCAGCCCCAGCAGCCCCUGGACCUACUUGAGGCUUUUCCCCAAGGAAACACAACGUGUGAUGGCUCAGCUGUGGGUCCAGCAUCCCUCAUCCCUAUUGCCAGCCUUGAUGCUGCCUCCUUGCUCGUGAUCCCACCAGGGAGCAGCUGCACUCUUAGAAGAAGGCUGAGCUGGGCAUAACGUGGGGCUUCUAGGAAAACAGGGGCCAUGCCAGCCCCGUCCACAGAUGGGGGAAGUGAGCGGCUGUGAGCUGGGACGGCUGGAAGCAGUGGGGUCUGGAGCUGGAUUGAGGGCAUGUCCCAAAAACUGCACUGUCCCGGGGCUGACCUCUGCUCUGGAGGGAGCAAAACAGUAAAGGGAGAAACAAAACUGCUGAGUACAAGCAGCAUCCAAAGCAAGUGGGAAGGAUACGGUGAUAAUAAGCGAAGGCAGUUUUUUGUGAAGCUAAAUCAUGCCCCUCUGGUCAGUUGACUUCUUUGAGCUCCUAAAAAAGGCAGAUCAGGAAGAAGUAGGGAGCAGAGUAAAUACAGCCUUUCAAAAGCGUUUUUGAUAAAGACUUUUCCAAGAGUGAAAUAAACUUGGCAACCGUGGGAUGAAAAGUCCCGUCAUGGAUUAAAAAGUGGGUCAGAGCUGAUAGCAAGGAGAAAAUCCAUUAGAAGGAUAUGGCCAGCAGGGUAAGGAAAGCCUGCUGGGGGGGGGGGAAGAGGGCAUGUGGAGGGGCGGGGGCAGCCCUCGGAAUGGGGUGUCAAAAACAGAGACGGGGAAGAGGGAUAACAAGGCAACAACAUUAGCUGCCGGCGGAGCAUUAUUUAUUGUGACUUCAAGCAUGGCUGGGCAGGGCUGGGAGGUGCUCCAGAAGCUUCUAACUAAACUAGGAAACCAAACCACAGUGACGGAGAAAGUUCAGCUUACACAAGUGCCAGUGCAAACCGUUUCAGAAUAAACUGGGCAAGCCUCUUGCUCUGAAUUAGAAGUUAGCUUGUAGGGGUCAGAUGUGGCACGGGCACUGAUUGCUCAAGCCUUGCUCAACAAAGGUCGGGACCCUGGAUCAGCAGGAUGAAUCUGUCACCGUGUAGCCCGGCUGCGUGUUGCAGUCCCCGUGUGCCUGCACUGAAGGGCCGUAGCAGCAGGGCCUAAGGCAGCUUCCUGAGAACAGCCCCGCUGGGUCCAAUCGGAAGCCCACCGAAGGCAGUGUGGGCAAACAGAAACAGGGUGGGAUCUGCCAAUAAGCUCCUGCCUGGCCCAAGGCUGGCCCAGCUGCCGGCCCGCCUGUGGUGACGUGCCUGCCGUGGCUACAGUGCUGGGAGCCAGUUUUGGUGGGGCUGGUUGCAGCUGCCCCGUGGGCAGCCUCCAGCCCCCGGCACCGGCAGGCGAGGCCCAGGCUGCAGCCCUGAAGCUUGCCCUGUGCGGGUGUCUGGCCAUCAUGGAGCGGGAACGGCUCUGCCGGGACAAGCGCAGAUCCUGGCGGGGUGUGGUAACACCGAGCCCCGUGCAACAAGAAACGGAAGGGGAGUGCAUUUGUAAAUAAUUUACUAGAAUGACCUACAUGCUACCAAGCCUUUGUUCCCUCUUAUGCAGUCAGUAGAGAACCACACAGCCUCAGAGAAUGAAGUCUGAGGACCGAACGCUGAGAGGUGACACAGAGCAGAGGCAUCUGAGCCUUUCCUGUGGGAAGGCAGCCUGAGGUGCCUUCAGAGUUUCUAAGCUUUUCCAAGCUUUGUGGAGAAGCGGGAGAGGGAGAGAUGUCCCACAGCCCUGCGGAGGGAGCAGGGAGGGGACAGCUUGCUGAUGGUGCUUGUCACGUGUUUGGAGCUGCCAGCGCUGCACUGGGGCGGCAGCGUGUGCAUGGAGAGGGAGAGCUAUGGUGGAGGAAUCAAGGCCUGGGCUAAUUGCCAGCAAAGGAAAGCAGAUCGUGCUCUUCAUGAGAGCAGAGAAACUGGGCCUGGUGUGUGAGCUGCCUUUGAGAGCUGGCUGGAGAUGGGACUCCACGAUGCCCAGCUACAUGGCACAGUUCCCUGGACAUUGCCAAGCCAUGGUGGCCUUGGGGAUCGACAGCAGGACGCUUCCUCUCUGCAAUCUUUGCCUUCUGUCAUGGGAUGAGGUGUGGUGCACAAACGUGAAACAUCAGUCACUAGCCACCGGUGGGGCCAAAGGAAGGCUACUGCUCACGCUUGUUGCUACUUUCUUCUUCUUUAUAAUUCUGCUCUGUCAAUCGUGUGAUUAUAGAAGAAUCUCAGUUUUCAGCUAAGAAAUGUAUGCUUUUCUUGCUGGCUCUUGCAGAGACAAACCUGGAAAUUCUAGAGUGUUGAGUCCAAAGACUGAAGAGUCAGAAGAUGAACAAGCACAGAAUCCAACGUUACUGGUUUUCCAAAUUUUUUAAUUGUAUUGUUUAGGUGACUGACAGUAUUUUGGAACCCCUCUCUCGAAGGUUUGGGAUUAGCUGUCCCAAAAAGAAGAGCAUGUUGGCUGCCUAGUGCUACUUGGGAAUGUCAAAAUCCCAGCCCAUGGCUCUGCAGAACUCGCUUAGUCUCUCUUGCUCAGAAGCCCAGGACCACCUUCUGAGGCUCGGAGAGAAAAGCUGGUCAGGUUUUCUCUGUGAGCUCUGCUUCACGUGGCAGUCCAGCUGGACAGCCCUGCCAGCAGCAGGAGCUGUGGCCCCACCAUGGCUACCUGGCCUCCCCUGUGAAGCAGAAGUAGCACUGGCAUUUCUUAGCAGGUGAGGAUCCACCCAGCACACUGCUGCAGUACCUGGCAUCUUUGUGUCUGCCCUGACCAUUCCACUCGGCACCAACAGCAUGUGCACAACCUGUGCUUCUUUGUUUUUGGCUGUGGCUUCUCUGUGGACAGACUUGCUAUCUCUGGGCCUACAGAGAUGAUUCACAUUUCUCCAUUUUUAGACAUAAUAAUAAUAAUAAUAACCAGUGUCUUCUGACUCCCACUUGUGCUGCCCCUCAGUGUGUGCACCUCGGCCCUGGGAGCCGAGGAGCUGUACCCACUCAUUGCUGCUGAAGUUGGCUGACCUCAGUGCAGGGAUGGGAUGCGGGGUGGAGGUGUGCAGCUCUUCCCGAGUCCACAUUGCUCAGUCGGUCACCUCUUAUCUCACUGAUGGAUCGAAACCCCACGAAUUCACGCUGUGGUGGAUGUGACUGUGUCCGUUGCAAACGCAGCUGUUCCAAAACGCAAACCAGAAUUUUUAAGUGCUGCUGAAGUGGUGAAAACCCUUUGAGGAGCAGGUGUGGGGCCGGUGGAUGGCAAAACCUUCCUCAGUGAAACUGCUCAAAAGAGCAAGUCUGUUAACGAACAGAGGGUCUGUGUCCGGGUCCAACAGCACUGGCAGAUGGCAAGAGCCAGCAGCAAGAGUGAGCAGUGCACCCUAGGAAAAGCAUCCAGAAUAAACCAGGAAGGUGAAGGAACGCGUCAGUCUAAGCCUUGCUUCCUGAAGCGGCACAAAGCCCGUCCCAGGAAGGAGUGCUGCUGCAGCGACAGAGCGGUGCAGUGGGAUGUCUGCCCCAGAGCUGUGCUGCGUGCGGCCCCCGAAGUGCACGUGGGCAGGGCUGGUUUUUCCAUCUCUCUUUACUACCAGAAAAAGCAAAGCACCCCUCUGAGCGUGCUCGCCGGACUAGGAGGAGCGUGCACGCAUGUGUGUUUGCGGGUGCACAACGCCGAGCACGUGAACAGCGGCCGCAGGGUGUCAUGGAGCAUGCAGCCCACGCAGGGCCGGGCCGGGCCGGGCGUGCUGACGGCAGCGUGGCUGUGGCGGGCAGGGCUCCUCCGUGCGCUGAUGAAACGCAGCUGGGCUCCGCAACCAGCUCACUUGGUAGAGAAGAGUCUAGAAGGGCUCGUGCCAGCUAUAAACAGAGCGAUCAGCAUACACAGGAUGUGGUGAGCAGCUACAGGCGUCCCGUUAUUAACUUCACUUUUAUUUCAAGGGGAUUCACUUCUCUGUUCUGUUUCCCAUUUGGGAAGUGAAACCUAAGACCACGGCACCACUUAGCAGAAAGAAUUUGGUCGCUGCUCAUUUGUUUUUCUAGUUGAUUCUUCUUUUUCUCCUGCAAAGGUUACUCCGCUGUUCCUUUGACAGAAUUCAUGGAAAUUACUGGCAGCGCGCUGACUCUUCGCUCUCUGUUUCUCUCCUGAGGAAUUAUCUCAUCUGCGCUCAUUGAAGACUGUUGACUCUGAGGGGAGUGUUUACUUGAGGACACCUCGCCUGGCCAGGAAGGAGCAAUGCGGAGAGCGAGCGCUGGUUCCUCCCAGUCACAGCCCAACCAGCCUGUGCUGCGCCGAGGUGCUUUGUAAACAUUUGUUCAUCCUUGCACACACCUCCCACCCCCCGUAAGGUGAGGAAAUGUUAUUGCCACCUUUCCACAGAUGGAAGAAGUGAGCACAGAGAGGUGCGGUGACUCAUCGGCCGCAGCUGAGGCAGAGCUGGAGCUGCGGAGCCAAUCUCCCAGCCCUGACAUUGCCGGCAGUCACGUUCUCACCCGGCGCUGGGACGUGGGCAGCGCCAGCCCCAUCCACCUGCCGCCCACCUGUCCUGGGAGGCGGCAGCGUGCAUCUCAGCGUGUACAGAAAGAGAUCAGAUCGCCGUGGCUUGCUCCAUGUGCUGGUGUCAUCGCAGCAUGGUGUGCUGUUACGUCAUGAUGUUAUUACGCUUGAAACUAGUGCAUGGCUGCUCACAGUAACAGGGCAGGGGGCUGAACAUGACCUUGUGCUGCUCAAGCACAUCACACGGCACACGCACACUGCACCGGGGUGUCAGUCAGCCCCACCGCACUGCAAGGACCUGCCUCGAUCUGCAUGCUGGGCAUGGCCGGCCCUGUCCCUGUCUCUGUCUCUAUCUCUGUCUCUGUGCCCAUCUCCAUCCCUGUCUCCGUGCCCCCUUCUCGGCCAGGCCUGCAUUAGUGCAGCCCCACACACUCGGUGCAGGUAACUCAGAGGAAAUGUGGCUCUGUGACACAGUGGAAGGAAAGUAUUUGCCUCUCCGGUGGAAAUGGCUCUCACAGCACACGGUCAUAAGGACUGCAGCCCAUGUUCUCAGGGGGUGCUGCCUCUUGGGAGUGAUGGGUGCUUGUUGGAAGCCAAGCUGCCCUCGGUGCGAGCACUCAGCAGAGAGGCACUCGGUGCCUAAUGGCAGCUGUACGUUCAGGGCUGUAUGUUGCCACUACUUGGUGGCACCUAUUGCUGUUUACGGUCUUCAUCAAUAUCGCUCCCCUCUCCCACGCAGAAUCAAGAACAACAACAACUAACACCCCCACUCCUUAUCACCUCUGCUCGCUUUCCACGCUGUCUGCACGAGCAUGGUUUCACUCAUCCCCAGCUCAGCGCGGGCGAGUCACAUCAGUCAGUUCCACUUUGUGACGCAGCUCUGUCUGUCUGUCUGCUCUCAGGUCUGGGCAGGAUGCGCUGUGAUCAGAUUCACCGUACCCGAGGGAAGGGUAGAGUUUGCUCUACACAUCUGUUCAUUUUUAAGUAAAACGCUCGGUACUUUCUUCUUUUAAAUGAAACCUUUGAGACAGGUCAUCCUCAUUAAGCUUGCACCUAGCUGCCUCUUGCCUAGCCAGCUGUAAAACCAGUGUUCAUUGCCACAGUGAAGCCCAAAGAAGGAACCUCCUUGACAUCUGUGGGCUUUGGGACAGUUCGGGAGCCUGGUCCUGCAUGUGUUGAGGGGCAUGGCCAAACACCCAUGAAUUUCAAGGCAUGAGAAACCAGGGUCUCAGUGGUGCUUAGGAGCAGGGAGGACACGCAGCCGAGCACCUGGACCGUUACAGGCCUCCCUGCAUCUCGUCCUACCUUGGUGUGUGGUUCUGAAGAGCACUGGGACCUUGUAGGUGUAGGGGAGUAGAGAGGAAGAUGUCUCUUACUCUGGCCCUCCUUCAGGCAGCAGCACCACCUAAGGCUGCAGAGCCCAGGCUCCCUGCCUUCGCUGAGAGUCAGGCUGGAACUGCAGGGUGUGGGGAAGGCAGGCCAGGCCAUGAAGGGGAUGGAGAACGUGGGCCAACGUGUUGGGGAGGCUGGAGUCAGCACCUUUUGUCCAGAGAAACAGAGGGCCCUCUGUAGUGGAACUGGCAGAGAGUUAAUCUCAUAGUUAAACUGUUACUGGGCUUCACCUGCUCUUAUCCCUCCAUGGUGCAAGGGGCAAGGGGCUCAGUAGGUCAACUGGCACUGGGACCUGACAGCAAUUAAAGGGACCCCGCCGAGGCCCAGGAUUUGACCCGCGCUUUUUUGGUUAGGUCCCUUUCCACACCAUAUCAGUCCUCACAGAUGUCAUUUGUGCUUCAGUGUGGUUUGUGCUAAACAAAGUAAAGCCUUGCAAAGCGGAACACGCGGCCCAAAGCCAGGGAUGUACCAAAUAGAACUCACAAGCCACCGUACAGUAACAUGCACAGGGCACUCACGAGAGCAGUCCCAAUGUAACUGACGGGUACGUGGCUGUUGAGUCCGUGCAAAACAUGGUACCUGAAUGUCAGGAGUCCCGGAAGGGGAAGACAGCAGUGCCAGCAGUGAGGUUUUGAGAGGCACACGAAACAACUAGUUGAGAAGGAGUUACAAAUCCAGGGCAAACGCCCAGGCAAUACCCCACCUUCUUCUCAUAAGAGGCAUAUAGCCAACACCCCAUCAUACUGGUAAUCAGGGCCCUGGAUAAUGUGGGGUUUGUUUGCUGCUAAUAUAGCCAUUGUAUCUACCCUAGCUGCAGAGCCCUGCUCCUGAACUGAGGCACCAGGACUGCAAGUUACAGCUCUGCUGGCUGAGAGCUUUCUGAAUGGGAACACAGAGCAACCCUCCCUGUCUCUACACAUUCUAGCUCAGCAACGUGUGCUACACCCAUUCAUCUGAACGCAGAAAUAGCUCUGAAACUCAUGAUAAGGCCUUAAAUGCCAUCACACAGCUCAUUUAUUUCCCCACUGUCCCGAAGUGCUUCCCAGGUGCUGAAAUCCUGGCUGCCAAAACCUCCAUAGCCUCUGCCGACAACCUCAGUGACAUAGCUCUGCGUUGCAGCACCUUCCCUGCUGCUGCGGGCAGGGUGCUGCCAGAGGCUGUGCGUUCAGCCACAAGACGCCAGGAGCACUGAGGGUGGUCGCUGUGCCUGGCACGCAGCUGGGGAACCGAGGCCCCUAAGGGACGUGCCAUGUCCCCACACAGAGGGGAAGCGUGUGCCAGAGCAGCAGCAGCAGCCGGUGCCUCUCUUUUUCCAUGCGUCUGUCCCCUCCUCAAAGCAAUUUAGCAAUUUUCUUCGCCUUGAUGCCAGUGGCAUUACAUAAGUGUAACCUGGUUGUGAGAUCACGAUACGACACGUCGAUUAGCCAGGGAGGCACAAGGUCAUAACCAGCCUGAGGAAGGAGAGGCAGGCUGUGCAUACACACAAACACACCUAGGUGGAUGUAUAUAAACACACGUGGGCCCCUGGUGUUCCCAUCGCAGAUGUGCUGUGCGUGGCACAUGUCAGCCGGGGCAGGCUAUCGACCGCUGCCUGUGUUUCUGCAUCAGAACCUUUCGGUUUUCCCUUUCAGGCUUGGAGUUACUUCUCUUUUACAUAAAUAGCACCACUCGAGGCUGCCUUCCCGAUAGGUGGAAUAGUUUCCCCUUGAGAAGGAACUGGUGGAAAUCCCCUCUCUUGAGACAUUUUAACUCUGCCAAAAAAUGUACAAUGGGAGUGACUGCUUUAACUAGCAAGCUGACUUUGGAUGAGCUAAUGGAUUUUUCCAUCACUAGUGUCUAGUUCCAGGGAUUUCCAUGAAUUGCUGUCAGGACAGAAGAAGGCAACAGAUUGCAACUGCGGGAUCUGCUGUUUCAGCUCCACUGACACGUCAUUCCCUCAGGACACCCAGUGACCUGGUUAAUCUAGUUCCUUGCUUCUGACUUCUCCUCGUAAAUGAUUUAUCAACUGGCGUGGAUCCCUGUUUGCUUAAGGAGGCGUGUGACGACCUCUCGCAGGCUGGCUGCACAGAGCCACGGCUGUGUUUGGCAGCCGGCUGCCGGCCGCAGCUCGUGACCCUUGGCUGGGGGAGCAGGGGAUGGGCAGCAGAGCCCGGUGGGUGAUGUUUAUGAGGCUGGCCGGAGGGCGCUGGUGACCAAGCUGCAGGCUCGGCAGUGGGAGCACUCGCCUAGGACCUGCCUCAGCCCACUCUGACCCCCAGGGUAUGAAGGCGCGGUGGGCAGAGGGUUGGCGUGGGCUGUGACUGCCCGCCACGGGAGCGCCAGCUGCACCAGAGCCAUCCUUGAGGUCCCUGCUCUCCACGGAGGAAAUAACGCCAACUUUGGUCCGUUGCCUUGUCCACAGCGAGGCAGCAUCCGUGGGGUGACAUCAGUGUCACGUCUGAAGCAGAUGCAGCUCUGGAAGUCUUCACGUGCACACGUAGUAGCAGGAAGGCCAGAUUGCUUCUCUGACAGCUCCGUGACCUGACAGCUGCCCACAGUCUGAGCAGUGCUGCUCCUGACCAGGAGAGCCAACCUGCUGCGAGCUGCUGCAGCUCAGUGCACGAGUGCUGGGGGAACAUCCAGCUCGCAGGACGGCUAUUCACUAAGGGCCCCAACAGGACAUCCUUCCUGUAUUAGUAUUGCCUCCCUGAACUAUCAAUUAAAAAGAACGCCACAAUUCUGUACCCUGUGGAUGCCGCCUGCCUUCUGUGCGCGCACAAAUCCCGCUACGAGAGGUACUGUAAGUACUGAGGUGUUAAAGACGCCAGAGGGUGCCCAGUGGGAUUUCAGAAGAGCAGCGGUCCCGACUGCUUUGGAUGUCAGCGCAGGUCGGACGUGUGAGCCCCAGGCCCCGCCUGUAGGGCCCCACCACCUUUGGAAUCUGGUUCCCUCAGCUCCCUCUGUGAAUACGGCAGUUAGCUCCCAGGGUAUUGCGAGGAUGGAAAAAGUAAAGACUAUGAGUUCUCAGGAAAUAUUGAAACGGGGUCAACUGAGUAACAUUUAAGUCAAUUAGAAAGACGGUCUGUUAACAGUCUGUUAAUAGCUGGCUGAGAUGGAUUCCCAUGAUUCCCGGUGCCAGCAUCUCCGCUCACACAAGGAAAUAUUUAUGACUCUUCUCCCUCAAAAGCCUGGUUAACCUCAUUUAAAGCAGAGAGCACGAAGAUAGAUCUAUCAACAUUAGGGACAUCAACUCUCCCUUUUUGUCCCCACGAUUACAAGAGAAAAGGAGAAUUCAAACCUUAAAGUGGGAAGUGAAUUACGCAGAGUGGCCGCAGAUGGGAGCCAUUAAAUGCCCGGCUGCGUUUUUUUAAUUGAAACAAUACAGCAAUUUACUAUACAAAUAGCUCUGGCAGAGCGCUGCUCUGGUGCUGUGGAAGCUGCCCGCCCCGCGUCCCACGGGUCACACACGGCAGCACGGCGCGGACCUCCCGCUCCCAGCAGAGCCGCCGGCACCCGGGGCGAGGCGCACCCCUGGGCACAGCACCGCGGCUCCGCCUCGCUUUCCAGACGACUCCAGGAACGUCAGGACGAGCUCCCAGCGGCAGCUCCCGGCCCAUUACCAAAUACAGAGUCCAGAGGGAAGCGAGUCCUCGCUCCUCCUUUUGGGCGAGGCGAAGGGGAAAAAACAAAGCCGGAUGGGUCCCACUGUCAUCUUGACUGCCCGCGGGUUUUGGUCUGAGCUCCCGAAGCUUUAGGCCUGCCUGUAAGUCCAGCUUUGAAAGGGAAGGCGUUUAUUUUCAGUUUUCUGACGAGUGAGUAAUGGGGCUGCCAUCUAGAGGCCACUGCAACUUUCCAGCACAUUCCUUCGGACAGGAGUGGCAUUGUCAAUAACCUCCUCCUCCCACUACCUCCUCAUGAAGGACUUCUCGCUUCUAAAUGAAACUGUUACAGUACAAAGCACUUCUCCAUCCACAUCCCUGCCCACGGCGGCGGGCUGGAACUGGGUGAUCUUUAGCGUCCCCUCCAACCUGAGCCAUUCUAUGAUUGUGUCAUCUCUCAUUCAACGAUUGCAAAUUCUGCCUUAAUCAAUCCGGCUUAAGAAGGAGCUCUACUGAUAGGUAAUCUGUGUAUCCGCUGCAGGAAUGGGAUGCUGGGAGUGCUGGCUCUAUGAGUCUCAACUCCAUCCUUCCAUCCUGUCCCUGAGCUGAACAGCACCAGCCAAACUGGGCCAAACUCAGCGGGAUCCACUUUAGACCCUGCCUUGCAUAGAAGUCGGCUGCUGCAAAUGUGAACAGGAGGCAGAUACAGGGCAGCCAUGGCCACCCACCGCUCACCACGUGAGCUGCCUGCUCACUUGUGCUAAACCCUGUGCCCAAAUGGAGCGGCCCGGCAGGCUGCAGGGCAGCAGGGAGUGAGGGCCGCACUGUGCUGCGCAGGCCUGGCAGCAGAGGAACCCCACUCCAGUGCUUUGCAGAGCACUUCAAAUUUGCUUGCAGACUGCCUGCCUCGCACCCCGCACCCACCAAUUGCAAAAUCCCCUGUUGAUAUGACUAAGAGUCACGCUCUGCAGCCUCAGCUUUGGGUUCUACCUCUCUCGGUCCUGAAAUGGGGACAGGGAAGUGCCAGAUGCUUUCUGUUCUCCUUGCUCAGGACUCUGCGACCAUGGGUGUUUUUGAGUCAGCGGUGCUCAAGGGACCUUUCAGUCAGCAUAACUGCGUGAGUGGCCAAAUAAAAACAGGCCCAAACGCCAAUGGGGCUCUGCUUACAUCAAGGAAAGGGGAAGCAGCUCUUCUACAGCGAGCGCUAGCUCGCAAGAGGCGGCUAAAAAUAGGGCUGCCCUCUACAACACUUCCGUCCUGCCUUUGACACGCUCGCGGCUUUCAUGUCCCAUCGGCCCCGCCAUUUCCUCGCCCCACACUCGGCAUCGCCCCACAGCCCUUCCUGUCCGCGCGGGGCUUUGAAGCAUGGGCAGCUCCCUCACGCCAGAUGGCAGAGGGCACUUCCUCUGCUUUCUUCACUCUUUUUGAGUGCUUUGGUCACAAGUGAGAAGUGGGGCGGGUCCCGGUGAAGGUCUCGCCCCAAGAAGACGCUGGAAGUCCCAGAGGUGACCAAGACAAGGAAGGCGUUCCACAGUGGAGUGUUUUCAAGGGUGUUUUCCUCGGUAAAUGAAAUGAUGGGAAGUGUUUCUGUCGAUACCUCCAGGACAACAUUCCCAAGUAUUGGCUUUCAGUUUUGGCAUUUGUUCCUGGAGGAUCGGGGGCUGGAAAUGGCACAGACCUGCUUCUCGGAAUUAGCAGGAAAACAAAGGAGCAAUGUGCAGGAGGGGAUGUGAAGGGGCCGAUGCCUGUCAGCAGGCAGUGACACCGCACGGCUGGCAGAUGAUGGCCCAUGGAAGAUGGCAGCACAGCAGCAGCAGCGUGCCAUCAGAGCAGCAGAGCCCUGGUUCUGCCUGCAUGUCUGUGAGAAGAGGCACGGGACAGAGCUCAGUGUGGGCGGGCUGUUAGGCUGAGGAAAAGGCGAUGACUUCUCUUAACCUCAGUGAAGCAGACUGUUGAGAAGGCCUGUGCAUUUGCCCAAGGUUUUCCAGAUGCUGAGUAAAUAAAAUCCCUGAGAAGCUG